rnacentral:lncRNA from 1 species
GGGGUGGGGUGGGGUGGGGGUGUUUUCUGGAGAAACGACAUCACACACGUGGUGCCAUGACCCAUCUUCCUUUACAACUCAAUUCCUUGAUUUUGCCUCAGCUCCCAGACUGAGGAAGAUUAAGCAAUGGACAGCAGGAUGUCAUCUCAUUUGAGUAAAUUACAAAUGAUACCUGGAACCUGUCACAUUUGCCUAAUUGGCUUAUUCACAUGCAUUAGACAUUGCUAAACUAGUUUGAUUUUAGUUAUUGAUGUGGUUUUUUUUUUUUUUUAUGAAUAGUGCCCAGUAGAUGGAGAAAGAUUUGCAACCUCAAAUUUUCCACCCCCUGGAAUUUGAAUAAUAAAUUUGUUUUUAACUUACUUCCCUAAUUGUCCCAAA